rnacentral:rRNA from 1 species
AGAGUUUGAUCCUGGCUCAGGAUUAACGCUGACGGUGUGCCUAACACAUGCAAGUCGAACGGAAAGGCUCUAGCUUGCUAGAGUACUCGAGUGGCGAACGGGUGAGUAAUACUCAGAUAAUCUACCAUUCAGACGGGGACAACCUAGGGAAACUUGGGCUAAUACCGGAUACGAUCUAUUUUUUAAUUUAGAUAGAUGAAACGAGCAAUCGGCUGAAUGAUGAGUCUGAGCCCGAUUAGUUUGUUGGUGGGGUAAAAGCCUACCAAGACUACGAUCGGUAGCUGGUUUGAGAGGAUGAACAGCCACACUGGGACUGAGAUACGGCCCAGACUCCUACGGGAGGCAGCAGUGAGGAAUUUUGCACAAUGGACGAAAGUCUGAUGCAGCGACACCGUGUGAACGAUGAAGUCCUUCGGGAUGUAAAGUUCUGUCAGUAGGGAAAAUUAUGAUGGUACCUACAAAGGAAGCACCGGCUAACUAUGUGCCAGCAGCCGCGGUAAUACAUAGGGUGCGAGCGUUAUCCGGAUUUAUUGGGCGUAAAGAGUUCGUAGGCUGUAAUUUAAGUCAGAAUUAAAAUGCUGAGGCUUAACCUUGGUUCGGUUUUGAUACUGAAUUACUUGAGGUCGGGAGAGGAAAGCGGAACUCACAGUGUAGCGGUGAAAUGCGUAGAUAUUGUGAGGAACACCAGUGGCGAAGGCGGCUUUCUGGACCGAAUCUGACGCUAAGGAACGAAAGCGUGGGUAGCAAACAGGAUUAGAUACCCUGGUAGUCCACGCUGUAAACGAUGUACAUUAGGUGUAGAGGGUAUCGACCCCUUCUGUGCCGUAGCUAACGCGUUAAAUGUACCGCCUGGGGAGUACGGUCGCAAGACUAAAACUCAAAGGGAUUGACGGGGGCCCGCACAAGCAGUGGAUCAUGUGGUUUAAUUCGACGAUACACGAAAAACCUUACCAAAACUUGACAUCUAGAGAAGUCUACAGAAGUGUAGAUGUGCCUUCGGGGACUCUAAGACAGGUGGUGCAUGGUUGCCGUCAGCUCGUGCCGUGAGGUGUUGGGUUAAGUCCCGCAACGAGCGCAACCCGCGUCCUGUGUUGCUACAUUAAGUUGAGAACUCUCAGGAGACUGCCCGUGGAAAACGGGAGGAAGGUGCGGAUGACGUCAAAUCAUCAUGCCCCUUACGUUUUGGGCUACACACAUGAUACAAUGGCCGGUACAGAGGGCAGCGAAGCCGCGAGGUGAAGCUAAUCUCAUAAAACCGGUCUCAGUUCGGAUUGUAGGCUGCAACUCGCCUGCAUGAAGUUGGAAUUGCUAGUAAACGCAGAUCAGCACGCUGCGUUGAAUACGUUCCCGGGCCUUGUACACACCGCCCGUCACACCAUGAGAGUCGGAUAUACCCGAAGUAAGUGAGCCAACCGCAAGGAGGCAGCUUCCUAAGGUAGAGCCGAUGAUUGGGGUGAAGUCGUAACAAGGUA